rnacentral:rRNA from 1 species
UACGUAGGCAGCAAGCGUUGUUCGGAGUUACUGGGCGUAAAGAGUAUGUAGGCGGUUGCGUAAGUUCGGUGUGAAAUCUCCCGGCUUAACUGGGAGGGUGCGCCGAAAACUGCGUGGCUUGAGUGCGGGAGAGGAGAGCGGAAUUCCUGGUGUAGCGGUGAAAUGCGUAGAUAUCAGGAGGAACACCGGCGGUGUAGACGGCUCGUCUGGACCGUAACUGACGCUGAGAUACGAAAGCGUGGGUAGCAAACAGG